UAGAAAGUCUAGAAAGACACAAUUUGGUCGAAAUAAGAGUUUCUGAAAAGAGAAGUCUUUUACGGAUUGACGUGAAGUAAGUUGUCGUUGCCUUAACGGGUGCGAGACGAACGAUUAGAAGAAAAGGUGACAAAAAAAGGAGAUAUCUAGAUCGUACAGGCCUUGUUUGCAUUUGAAAAAAAAGAGGAGAUCCUGUAUUUCAAGCCAGUAAGAUAUCGGUAAUAAGUACUAUUUAAAAC